CCUGGUGGCUCAGAUGGUAAAGCUUCUGCCUGAAAUGCAGGAGACCUGGGUUCGAUUCCUGGGUCAGGA
rnacentral:tRNA from 1 species